rnacentral:pre_miRNA from 1 species
UUGUUAAAUUUUUAUUCAUUUCUACAAUAAAAAAUUAGUGUGACUAACAAAAUAACCAAACAGUUGCACAUGGUGUGUUAUAUGUAUCUCAUUUGACUACGAUGAUCAAUUUUUAACAAUAAAAAUGAAUAAAAUUUUAACAA